rnacentral:rRNA from 1 species
UACGUAGGUGGCAAGCGUUGUCCGGAUUUACUGGGCGUAAAGAGCGCGCAGGCGGUCGUUCAAGUCGCGUGUGAAAUCCCCGGGCUCAACCUGGGAACUGCAUUUGUGACUGCACAGCUGGAGUGCGGCAGAGGGGGAUGGAAUUCCGCGUGUAGCAGUGAAAUGCGUAGAUAUGCGGAGGAACACCGAUGGCGAAGGCAAUCCCCUGGGCCUGAACUGACGCUCAUGCACGAAAGCGUGGGGAGCAAACAGG